GUCCCUGCCCUUGAGGAGCUCCUAAUCUAAUCAGGGAGACAGAUAACAUGCAAGUAACUAUCCAAACAAGCUAGAUAACAGGAUACAUUGAAAAUCUGAUGUGGCAGAUGGAAACAAGAGUAGGUAAUGGAAGAUGAAUAAAAAUGUUUUGGGAAGGUCCUGUAACAAUAGUGUCCAGAAUGCUAAAGCUCAGAAUGGGUGGAAUCUGACCAAUCUGAUCAAUCUGACUGGGAGUACAAAAGGAGCCUCCUUUAAUCCCAGGCUGCCACCCCACGCAGAGCAGUCCAGCAGAGCAGAGCAGAGCUGAGCUGAGCUGGUGGCCUCCCAAGAAACCCCCCAGCCACUUCUGCCCAAGGCCAGAGACGCCCCAGAGGAAUCUUCCUCCGACCCAUCUCUUGGGCCGCAGCCGGGGGGCGCGGGGGAGAGGGACAGAGUCUCAGGUGAGAGAGACUCAGACAGACAGACAGACAGAGCGCGCAGCCCUUCCGCACCCAACACCGUCUCCUAAGACCGACGAGACUCUUGGCGUCUUCAUCUAACCGGAGAACCACAGCCCUUGAUCUGGGCUCCGCUCUAAGGUAAGGGCCAUUGCUUGAGUCCGGUAGGAGAUGGGGGCCCGGGGAGAGGGGAAAGCUUCGUGCGUAAACUCAGCCCUCCGGCCCGGAGGAGCUGUGCCUUGGCCCCGAGCCCAGUUCUUCUGUUAUCUCCGUGGCCCCCGUUGUGGCGAGCUCCCGCGGAUACGCUAAAAGGCUCUGUGGGACCUCGGUCAGCUCAGCCCCGUGGGUCUAAGCGGUGCUCUGGCUCCUUUCGGCGAGAGAUGAGGCAAGGGGAAGAGAAGGGGGAGACCCGGGCUUAUUAAACAGACUUUCUUAAAAACGUAAUUUGUGCCGAGUCCUUUACCCAUAUUCUAUUUGAUUCUCUCAAGCACCCUGGGAGAUAGGUGGAUCCUAUUAUUAUUAUAAUUAUUAAUCAUUCCCUUUUCACAGUUGAGUAAACUGGGACUUAAGUGACUUGCCCUCAGGAUUACAGUUAGGAAAUAGCUAAGAGAAGAUUUGAACUCGGGUCUUCCCGACUCCAGGGAAGGAGAGGGGGAUAGAUGAAGGGGGGAGAGAACCCGCUUUUACCUUGACUCUCCUGAAUAGUUCAGAUUCUAGAACUACGUAGCCUCCCCUCGCUCUUUGGCCAAACUUACAAGUGAGCAUUUACAUAGCUUUUUAAGGUUUGCUUGUGAGUGAUCUUCACAGCCACCCCGUGAGAUAAAUGCUCUUAAUACCCGGAUUUUAGCGAUGAGAAAACUGAGGCAAACA
rnacentral:lncRNA from 1 species